GACGUAGGGCGCGAGCGUUGUCCGGAUUUAUUGGGCGUAAAGAGCUCGUAGGCGGCUUGUCGCGUCGACUGUGAAAACCCGCGGCUCAACCGUGUGGCUUGCAGUUGAUACGGGCAGGCUAGAGUUCGGUAGGGGAGACUGGAAUUCCCGGUGUAGCGGUGAAAUGCGCAGAUAUCGGGAGGAACACCGGUGGCGAAGGCGGUUACCUGGAGCUUUGCUGACGCUGAUGCGCGAAAGCGUGGGGAGCGAUCCGG
rnacentral:rRNA from 1 species